rnacentral:rRNA from 1 species
GUCUCAGGACUCUUGGGAACAAUGGUAUGCCGUGAUAGUUUGCGGCGGAGGGGUCCCUUUACACGUGGGUAACCUGCCUGUAAGACUGGGAUAACUCCGGGAAACCGGGGCUAAUACCGGAUGGUUGUUUGAACCGCAUGGUUCAAACAUAAAAGGUGGCUUCGGCUACCACUUACAGAUGGACCCGCGGCGCAUUAGCUAGUUGGUGAGGUAACGGCUCACCAAGGCAACGAUGCGUAGCCGACCUGAGAGGGUGAUCGGCCACACUGGGACUGAGACACGGCCCAGACUCCUACGGGAGGCAGCAGUAGGGAAUCUUCCGCAAUGGACGAAAGUCUGACGGAGCAACGCCGCGUGAGUGAUGAAGGUUUUCGGAUCGUAAAGCUCUGUUGUUAGGGAAGAACAAGUACCGUUCGAAUAGGGCGGUACCUUGACGGUACCUAACCAGAAAGCCACGGCUAACUACGUGCCAGCAGCCGCGGUAAUACGUAGGUGGCAAGCGUUGUCCGGAAUUAUUGGGCGUAAAGGGCUCGCAGGCGGUUUCUUAAGUCUGAUGUGAAAGCCCCCGGCUCAACCGGGGAGGGUCAUUGGAAACUGGGGAACUUGAGUGCAGAAGAGGAGAGUGGAAUUCCACGUGUAGCGGUGAAAUGCGUAGAGAUGUGGAGGAACACCAGUGGCGAAGGCGACUCUCUGGUCUGUAACUGACGCUGAGGAGCGAAAGCGUGGGGAGCGAACAGGAUUAGAUACCCUGGUAGUCCACGCCGUAAACGAUGAGUGCUAAGUGUUAGGGGGUUUCCGCCCCUUAGUGCUGCAGCUAACGCAUUAAGCACUCCCGCCUGGGGAGUACGGUCGCAAGACUGAAAACUUAAAGGAAUUUGACGGGGGGCCCGCACAAUCGGUUGGAGCAUGUGGUUUAAUUCGAAGCAACGCGAACACCCUUACCAGGUCCUGGCUUCCCUCUGACUUCCUAAAAUAGGAUU